UACGGGGGGAGCAAGCGUUGUUCGGAUUUACUGGGCGUAAAGGGCGCGUAGGCGGCCACCGCAAGUCAGUUGUGAAAGCUCUGGGCUUAACCCAGAAAGGUCAGCUGAUACUGCGGGGCUAGAGUGCAGAAGGGGCAACUGGAAUUCUUGGUGUAGCGGUGAAAUGCGUAGAGAUGCGGCGGAACACCGAUGGCGAAGGCAGCCCCCUGGGCUGAGAUUGACGCUCAGGCACGAAAGCGUGGGGAGCAAACAGG
rnacentral:rRNA from 1 species